rnacentral:tRNA from 1 species
CAAAUUAAUUUUAGAAAUUUAUUUAUUUACAAUAAAUAUAUAUAUUCGUGCAAAUCGAUUUAAUUUGA